UUGGACUUUUCCAAGUAGGAUCUGCCCAAUGAAUCGGUUUAAUGGCCGCGGUAAUUUGACCGUGCUAAGGUAGCAAAAUAAAUCGCUCUUUAAUUGAGAGAGUCGUAUAAAUGAUUUGACGAGAAAUUAUCUGUCUUUGCAAGUAAAAUAGAACUUAAUUCUAUCGUAAAAAAGCGAUGAUUUUUUGGAGGGACGACAAGACCCUGUAAAGCUUUACCUACUUUGGUUGAGAUAAAAAGGUAAGAUCUAGACCUUAGUAAGUUUUACUGGGGCGGUAAUAAAUAAACCUUUAACUUUAGAACAUUUUUCUUGAAUUUUUAUGAUGAUAAAUAUAUCACCAAGAUUAAGUUACUUCAGGGAUAACAGCGUAAUUGGUCCUUAGAGUUUUAUCAACGGAACAGAUUACGACCUCGAUGUUGAAUUGAAGUAACCUGGGGAAAUAGAUUUUCCUUCGAGUAAGUCUGUUCGACUUUUAAUUCUUC
rnacentral:rRNA from 1 species